UACCGUUAAGUUUUAAACAUUUGUUUUGAAAGCAAUAUAAGGGUUUCACACCCAACGGUAU
rnacentral:tRNA from 1 species